GAUGAACGCUGGCGGCGUGCCUAAUACAUGCAAGUCGAGCGAACAGACGAGGAGCUUGCUCCUCUGACGUUAGCGGCGGACGGGUGAGUAACACGUGGAUAACCUACCUAUAAGACUGGGAUAACUUCGGGAAACCGGAGCUAAUACCGGAUAAUAAAUUGAACCGCAUGGUUCAAUAGUGAAAGACGGUUUUGCUGUCACUUAUAGAUGGAUCCGCGCCGCAUUAGCUAGUUGGUAAGGUAACGGCUUACCAAGGCAACGAUGCGUAGCCGACCUGAGAGGGUGAUCGGCCACACUGGAACUGAGACACGGUCCAGACUCCUACGGGAGGCAGCAGUAGGGAAUCUUCCGCAAAGGGCGAAAGCCUGACGGAGCAACGCCGCGUGAGUGAUGAAGGUCUUCGGAUCGUAAAACUCUGUUAUUAGGGAAGAACAAAUGUGUAAGUAACUAUGCACGUCUUGACGGUACCUAAUCAGAAAGCCACGGCUAACUACGUG
rnacentral:rRNA from 1 species